CUCCCUUCUACUCUACCUAUAACCGUGAGCAACGCCUAGAAACCGGGUUGCAUUGGCGAUCCUACCCAGGGGGGGAGGAGAUGUGGUGGUUCGUUGGCAUCAAUUUUCGGAAAAAGUAUCAAUCCUUCCAACUCUCAUUAAUCAUUCUAUCGCCCGCCUUUCCAUCUCGACGGCGAAAUGCCUCCUAAUUCCUUGGAGAAAAAGCUACCUUUCUAUUUACCUCGACAAUGAGAAGCCUUCCGAUCCUUUCCUAUCCUCCAAAGAGAACCACCGUUGAAGACCAUCAGAGAAUCCGAAUUCCAAAGCUUCCUAUUAUCGAAAAUCAUCACGAAACCAUCUUCCUUGAGAACGAGAACGAGAACCGACGCCUUGAGUCGAGACCUACAAAGAUAUACUCCGAAAACACAUAGUAGGGAUGGAAGUUACUUUGAGGGCUGAACGGCACUAAGAUAGUGGGCUGGACUCUAUACUAUUGUAUGGGGUUAGGGUGGGCUAUCUUUGGUGAGGUUGUUUAUAUUGAUUAUUGAGAUUUGGGAGAUGAUUAGGAGGAUAUUAAUAAUGAUAAUAAUUUAGGAUUGGAGAUGAUGAUGGAUUUUGGCCGCGUAGUAUCGGCCUUGGAGGGGAGAAGGCGCUGUGGAAGGUACGAUGGGGCUUGAGGAUUUUGGUGGGCUUUGCAGUAGUAGUAUUUAACCAGUGGUCACGGUGAGAAACCGUUAGUUAGCCUAAUCAACCAAUCCACUCCCUUCUACUCUACC